AGCAUUAAAGGAGACCAAAAAAGUCUUGCAGAAGGAAGGCCCUUCCUGUAAGAGGCUAUCUAUUGAGCCAGGAGUUGUGAGAAUGUUAUUUUUAACUUUGGCCAAUUAGAAUCCCUCUUCUAGUGCCUGAAGAGUUGAGUCUGACAGCAGGGGGCAUCAUCAGCUAGCACUUAGCUCACUGAUGGAUGGAAACCAGGAGAAUAAUUUUGUCACUGGAAAUUACAGAACAAAAAACGGAGAAGAGGGAGCUGAUAACCAAGCUAAGUAUGGAAAUAGUAAAAGAGCAUAGUUGAUGAAUUCAAGUCUCCUGGCCCAGAUGAACUACAUCCUCAAGGACUGAAAGAAGCAGCAGGUGGGAUUGCUGAGGCACUAUCAGUGAUAUCAGGAAGAUCCUGGAAAACUGAAAAAGCACCAUAAGCUUGGAGGUGGGCAAAUAUCUUGAUUUCCUGAUGAGCAGAAAAACCUGGAAAGACUUGCAUGGACUGAUGCUGAGUGAAGUAAGCAAAACCAGGAG